rnacentral:rRNA from 1 species
GGUUAAGCGACUAAGCGUACACGGUGGAUGCCCUGGCAGUCAGAGGCGAUGAAGGACGUGCUAAUCUGCGAAAAGCGUCGGUAAGGUGAUAUGAACCGUUAUAACCGGCGAUGUCCGAAUGGGGAAACCCAGUGCAAUUCGUUGCACUAUCGUUAACUGAAUACAUAGGUUAACGAGGCGAACCGGGGGAACUGAAACAUCUAAGUACCCCGAGGAAAAGAAAUCAACCGAGAUUCCCCCAGUAGCGGCGAGCGAACGGGGAGCAGCCCAGAGUCUGAAUCAGCUUGUGUGUUAGUGGAACGGUCUGGAAAGUCCGACGGUACAGGGUGAUAGUCCCGUACACCAAAAUGCACAGGUUGUGAACUCGAAGAGUAGGGCGGGACACGUGGUAUCCUGUCUGAAUAUGGGGGGACCAUCCUCCAAGGCUAAAUACUCCUGACUGACCGAUAGUGAACCAGUACCGUGAGGGAAAGGCGAAAAGAACCCCGGCGAGGGGAGUGAAAAAGAACCUGAAACCGUGUACGUACAAGCAGUGGGAGCACCUUCGGGUGUGACUGCGUACCUUUUGUAUAAUGGGUCAGCGACUUAUAUUCUGUAGCAAGGUUAACCGUAUAGGGGAGCCGCAGGGAAACCGAGUCUUAACUGGGCGUUAAGUUGCAGGGUAUAGACCCGAAACCCGGUGAUCUAGCCAUGGGCAGGUUGAAGGUUGGGUAACACUAACUGGAGGACCGAACCGACUAAUGUUGAAAAAUUAGCGGAUGACUUGUGGCUGGGGGUGAAAGGCCAAUCAAACCGGGAGAUAGCUGGUUCUCCCCGAAAGCUAUUUAGGUAGCGCCUCGUGAACUCAUCUUCGGGGGUAGAGCACUGUUUCGGCUAGGGGGUCAUCCCGACUUACCAACCCGAUGCAAACUACGAAUACCGAAGAAUGUUAUCACGGGAGACACACGGCGGGUGCUAACGUCCGUCGUGAAGAGGGAAACAACCCAGACCGCCAGCUAAGGUCCCAAAGUCAUGGUUAAGUGGGAAACGAUGUGGGAAGGCACAGACAGCCAGGAUGUUGGCUUAGAAGCAGCCAUCAUUUAAAGAAAGCGUAAUAGCUCACUGGUCGAGUCGGCCUGCGCGGAAGAUGUAACGGGGCUAAACCAUGCACCGAAGCUGCGGCAGCGACACUAUGUGUUGUUGGGUAGGGGAGCGUUCUGUAAGCCUGCGAAGGUGUGCUGUGAGGCAUGCUGGAGGUAUCAGAAGUGCGAAUGCUGACAUAAGUAACGAUAAAGCGGGUGAAAAGCCCGCUCGCCGGAAGACCAAGGGUUCCUGUCCAACGUUANACCUGUGAGGGUUGCUGGAGGUAUCAGAAGUGCGAAUGCUGACAUAAGUAACGAUAAAGCGGGUGAAAAGCCCGCUCGCCGGAAGACCAAGGGUUCCUGUCCAACGUUAAUCGGGGCAGGGUGAGUCGACCCCUAAGGCGAGGCCGAAAGGCGUAGUCGAUGGGAAACAGGUUAAUAUUCCUGUACUUGGUGUUACUGCGAAGGGGGGACGGAGAAGGCUAUGUUAGCCGGGCGACGGUUGUCCCGGUUUAAGCAUGUAGGCUGGUUAUCCAGGCAAAUCCGGAUAAUCAAGGCUGAGGUGUGAUGACGAGGCACUACGGUGCUGAAGUAACAAAUGCCCUGCUUCCAGGAAAAGCCUCUAAGCAUCAGGUAACAUCAAAUCGUACCCCAAACCGACACAGGUGGUCAGGUAGAGAAUACCAAGGCGCUUGAGAGAACUCGGGUGAAGGAACUAGGCAAAAUGGUGCCGUAACUUCGGGAGAAGGCACGCUGGUGUGUAGGUGAAGUCCCUGCGGAUGGAGCUGAGACCAGUCGAAGAUACCAGCUGGCUGCAACUGUUUAUUAAAAACACAGCACUGUGCAAACACGAAAGUGGACGUAUACGGUGUGACGCCUGCCCGGUGCCGGAAGGUUAAUUGAUGGGGUUAUCCGUAAGGAGAAGCUCUUGAUCGAAGCCCCGGUAAACGGCGGCCGUAACUAUAACGGUCCUAAGGUAGCGAAAUUCCUUGUCGGGUAAGUUCCGACCUGCACGAAUGGCGUAAUGAUGGCCAGGCUGUCUCCACCCGAGACUCAGUGAAAUUGAACUCGCUGUGAAGAUGCAGUGUACCCGCGGCAAGACGGAAAGACCCCGUGAACCUUUACUAUAGCUUGACACUGAACAUUGAGCCUUGAUGUGUAGGAUAGGUGGGAGGCUUUGAAGC